rnacentral:rRNA from 1 species
CAAAUGAAUUGACGGGGCCCGCACAAGCGGAGGAACAUGUGGUUAAUCGAUGAUACGCGAGGAACCUUACCUGGGCUUAAAUGUAGAGUGCAUUUUUAGAGAUAGAAAUUCCCUUCGGGGCUUUCUGCAAGGUGCUGCAUGGUUGUCGUCAGCUCGUGCCGUGAGGUGUCGGGUUAAGUCCCAUAACGAGCGCAACCCUUAUCGUUAGUUGCCAGCUGGUAAAGCAGGGGACUCUAGCGAAACUGCCACCGUAAGGUGAGAGGAAGGUGGGAUGACGUCAAAUCAGCACGGCCCUUAUGUCCAGGGCUACACACGUGUUACAAUGGCCGGCACAGAGGGCAGCUACCUGGUGACAGGAUGCUAAUCUCGAAAACCGGUCUCAGUUCGGAUCGAAGUCUGCAACUCGACUUCGUGAAGCUGGAUUCGCUAGUAAUCGCGCAUCAGCCAUGGCGCGGUGAAUACGUUCCCGGGCCUU